CUAGGCGAUCCCGUCCGGCUGUAAUCUGGAUGGGUGUGUGUGUCCGUGUAUGUGUUUUAAGCGCAGAAAGAGCAAAGGUAUGUUCUGAAUCACUUAACUGCUUUUUUUUCACUUUAAAUUUGAUAUUGACUGAAGAAAAUAAUGCCCCGAACAACCUAUAAUUACAAAGCUAAUAUAAAAAAGUGGGAGGGGGGAAUGCGCUGGAUUCUCUUAUGCCAACAUUCAUACAGUGAUUCAUUUCGAUCAAUGAGGAAAUAGUAUCUUCAUACCUCUUCUCUUUGAUCUGCUUCCAGAUAAGGAAUAAACAGAUUGAUGUGCAUUCAAACAUUUCAGCAGCUUCCCAGGGACCCGAUCCAGCUGUAAGCAUGGGUGCAAGUUUUCACAUGUACGGACAACUAGUGGCCUCAGAUGCGGCUGCUGAUUCCGGUUUACUCACAUCCAAAAAAGGACAGAAGUCAGUUCCGUUGAGCUUGAAUUGCUGCGCAAUGCAGAUGAGUUGAAGGCUUCCUAUAUGUGUGAUUGUCUUUUGCUGGAUUGCAGCAUGUUUCUCUCGCAGAUAUACUUACUGAACAAAGGGGUGACAGGAUUUUUUGUAUUUUGAGAUAUUACAAUUUUUGCAACUGACCAAAGGCUGCUUUGUUUGUCGCUUAAUGUAAAAUAUUUUGGGCUAUAAUUCCCAUCAACCUCAGCCAGGGAAUGCUGCCUUAAACAUUAUCCCUCUAUAUAUGCAGUGCUUUUUUCCUG